rnacentral:rRNA from 1 species
GAUGAACGCUGGCGGCGUGCUUAACACAUGCAAGUCCAACGGAAAGGCCCAAGCUUGCUUGGGUACUCGAGUGGCGAACGGGUGAGUAACACGUGGGUGAUCUGCCCUGCACUUCGGGAUAAGCCUGGGAAACUGCGUCUAAUACCGGAUAGGACCACUUCUUGGAUGUUGUGGUGGAAAGUUUUUGCUGUCACUUAUAUAUGGAUCCGCACCUUAUCAGCUUGUUGGUGGGGUAAUGGCCUACCAAGGCGUCGACGGGUAACCGGCCUGAGAGGGUGUACGGCCACACUGGAACUGAGACACGGUCCAGACUCCUACGGGAGGUAUCUGUAGGGAACCUUCCGCUGUGGGCGAAAGCCUGACUGAGCAACGCCGCGUGAUUGAUGAAGGUCUUCGGAUCGUAGGACUCGGUUAUUACGGAAGAACAAAUGUGUAAUUAACUAUGCACGUCUUGACGGUACCUAAUCAGAAAGCCGCUUCUAACUACGUGCCAGCAGCCGCGAUCAUACAUAGGUGGCAAGCGUUAUCCGUAAUUAUUGAGAGUAAAGAGCGCGUAGGCGGUUUGUCGCGUCGUUUGUGGAAUACCGCAGCUUAACUGCGGGGUUGCAGGCGAUACGGGCAUAACUUGAGUGCUGUAGGGGAGACUGGAAUUCCUGGUGUAGCGGUGGAAUGCGCAGAUAUCAGGAGGAACACCGAUGGCGAAGGCAGGUCUCUGGGCAGUAACUGACGCUGAGGAGCGAAAGCAUGGGGAGCGAACAGGAUUAGAUACCCUGGUAGUCCAUGCCGUAAACGGUGGGCGCUAGGUGUGAGUCCCUUCCACGGGGUUCGUGCCGUAGCUAACGCAUUAAGCGCCCCGCCUGGGGAGUACGGCCGCAAGGCUAAAACUCAAAGGAAUUGACGGGGGCCCGCACAAGCGGCGGAGCAUGUGGAUUAACUCGAUGCAACGCGAAGAACCUUACCUGGGCUUGACAUACACUGGAUCGGGCUAGAGAUAGUCUUUCCCUUUGUGGCUGGUGUACAGGUGGUGCAUGGUUGUCGUCAGCUCGUGUCGUGAGAUGUUGGGUUAAGUCCCGCAACGAGCGCAACCCUUGUCUUAUGUUGCCAGCAUUUGGUUGGGGACUCAUGAGAGACUGCCGGGGUGAACUCGGAGGAAGGUGGGGAUGACGUCAAAUCAUCAUGCCCCUUAUGUCCAGGGCUUCACACAUGCUACAAUGGUCGGUACAACGCGUGUGCGAUCCUGUGAGGGUGUGCUAAUCGCUGAAAGCCGGUCGUAGUUCGGAUUGGGGUCUGCAACUCGACCCCAUGAAGUCGGAGUCGCUAGUAAUCGCAGAUCAGCAACGCUGCGGUGAAUACGUUCCCGGGCCU